GACGGAGGGGCUAGCGUUGUUCGGAAUGACUGGGCGUAAAGGGCGCGUAGGCGGUUUAAUAAGUGAGGCGUGAAAGCCCUGGGCUUAACCCAGGACGGUGCGUUUCAUACUGUUAGACUUGAGUACGAGAGAGGAAAGCGGAAUUCCUAGUGUAGAGGUGAAAUUCGUAGAUAUUAGGAAGAACACCAGAGGCGAAGGCGCUUUCUGGCUCGUAACUGACGCUGAGGCGCGAAAGCGAUGGGGAGCAAACUAGGG
rnacentral:rRNA from 1 species